CUGCCGGCGACCGGCGCACGGGUGAGUAACACGUAUGGAACCUGCCCGCAGCAGGGGGAUAAGCGGAAGAAAUUCCGUCUAAUACCGCGUAACAACGUUGGGAGGCAUCUCCCGACGUUUAAAGAUUUAUCGGCUGCGGAUGGCCAUGCGGCGCAUUAGCUAGUCGGCGGGGUAACGGCCCACCGAGGCGACGAUGCGUAGGGGUUCUGAGAGGAAGGUCCCCCACACUGGUACUGAGACACGGACCAGACUCCUACGGAAGGCAGCAG
rnacentral:rRNA from 1 species